UGCUGCCAGAGCUGGUGGAGGAGCUGCGGGCGUGUGCUGGGAUGUCACGGCGGCAUUUCUCUCAGCUCCAGGGCUCUGUUGGGCGAUGAGGGUCUGAUAGGGCAAAAGAACAAGGAAGGAGGAGAGGGGCAGGGGAAGGAGUGUUUGCAGCUCCUUGGUGCACCAUCCCGCAUCCCUGCAGCCCCGUGUCCUCAGGAGCUCCCACCCAGCCCACGCCGGCAUCCCGUGAGCACCCCAAGAGGAGUGGACCACGUCAGGAUGGGAGCCGCAGGAACCAGAGCUGAUGGCAUCUCCUGGAGGAGGAUGUGUUCAGCCGGCAAGUGGGAUCUUGGGAACCGAGGAAGCCUCUGGUUGUCUCUCCGAGCAUCAGGCUGGUGGCCAUGGCUCUUUGGCACGGGAAAACCCGCUUGGCCGUGGCUGCAGAGGCAGAGCUGUGCUCCCUGGCACACAAGGGCAGGACCAGAGCCUUUGCCAAAGGUCUGAUAGGAUUUGGGGUUUGCACCAGGAGCGGUUUCCCCUAUCUGUGAACCUCUUGGCUCCCUCACUGGUGGUGUGUGGUCCCUCCGAGGCCACGGGCUUCUGCUCGUCCAUUGGCCACCCUGAUUUUCAUAGAUCUUUUGUUGCUGUAGCCAUCCCUUAUGGGAUCCCAGGGAAGACUGCUGCGUUCAGCAGGACAAACUCUCCUCCUUCUCUCCCCAGGUGUAAUUUUGGGACUUGUCUGGCCAGAAAAAUCUGUUUUUUCCCCCUACAGGGCAGGUGCUGGGAGGAGCUGGGAUGAGGCAGGAGAAGCACCUGAGCCAGUUCUCACUGGUGCUGGGUAAAAGGCUAAUGUUUCCCCAGAGCACAUCUCUCCUAAUCCCUGUUUUCAGCCUAUUUUUAUCAUGCUGCUUCACCUUUGCCCUUGCAGGGAGUCUUUGCUCUCCAACCUCUCUCCUGACUACUUUUGCCCUCGUUCUUUUGUCUGUGUCCCUCCAAGCCUGGAGGUUGCUCACCCCGUCAGAUGAUUGAUGCCUCUCCGUGGUGGUGGAGAUGGGAUUUGUGGUUGCGCUGCCGCAGCUGAUGCCCACAGCCACUUCUGGUUUUGGGCAGAAUGGGCUGUACCCGUCAGGGUGCGCAGCCUGAGCUCAGCACUGGCUUUUCAGGUUUUAUUUGAUUUCCCAAGAAAAAGGAUUUUCCCAAAGCUCCUGCUCUCCUUGCUGCUCCAAGUGCAGCUGCGGGAGCUUGUCCUCGGAUGAAGGUGGUGGGAGCAGUGGUGUAGAGGAGGCAAUAGCCAACGUGUUGCUCAGCAGCUUUUGCAACCACAGCUACAAUCCUGUCCUGAUUGCUUCACCAAGUCAGCAGUUCUGAGGAAAAAAAGCAUGUUUUUUGUGCCCUGUGACAAUGAGGAAGAUCUCACAGCUAGGAGAAAAUGAAACACAGGCUGAGGACUGCCACGUCCAGAGAAAAAGCUUGUGUGGACAAGGAGAGGACAGGCUGUCCCCUGCCAGAAGGCUCACAGGGCAGUGAGAGUGAGAGAAGGGGAAGAAAGCAAAAGGCAUCCACAUGACUGAAGUGUUCCCUACGGAUGUUUGGCCACUUCUGAUCUGCGGGGGAUAGCAGGGGCUGGCUCGUCCCUAUUGGGAUGCUCAAUAUUUGCUGGAGCAACACCUGAGCAUCAGCGGACAGCUGGAGAGGACCCCCCAAAGAGGGCUGGAGCUCCUCAGGCACAGAUUGAGAGAGUUGGGGUUGUUCACCCUGAGAAGAGAAGACUGCGUGGAGACCUUAGAGCAGCUUCCCGUGCUGAAAGGCGCUCCAGGAAAGCUGGGGAGGGGCUCUGGAUCAGGGAGGGCAGGGAUAGGACAAGGGAGAAUGGCUUUAUAUUGGAAAGAGGAAGACUUAGUUUCUGCAUUAGGAAGAAAUUCUUCACAAUAAGGGUGUCCCUGCCCUGUCCCAGGUUGCCCAGAGCAGUGGUGGCUGCCCCAUCCCUGGAGGGGUUCCAGGCCAGGUUGGAUGGGGCUUGGAGCCCCUGAUCCAGUGGGAGGUGUCCCUGCCCAUGGCAGGGGUGGGACUGGGUGGGCUUUGAGGUCCUUUCCAACCCAAGCUAUUCCAUGAUUUGAUGAAAACCUGCUGAGAGGACAUGGGGUGCUUUGGGAUCCCAAGAGCACAUGGAGCAGUGGAGUCCAGGCUGGGCACCUCUUGCUGCUGGCCUUCAGGGGUACUGAGUGGUCUUUUGUCAUGCUGAGGAAGCUGAAGGCUCCUCCAGUUCCUGUGGCCAUGGUGAUGGGCUGGUGCCAGCAGCAUCUUGGCUGCUAAGAGUUAAGCUGGAAGAGGGAGAGGAGACCUUUGUCCAGCUGCCCCAGCACUUAUCUGCUCUUUACCUGGGGAAAUGACAGCUGAGAUGAAGUCAAUACAGGAACCGGUUGCAGAAACCAAGUGUUGGUCAGUGGUACAAUCAAUUUUUCUGAGUAAGGGCAGGUAUUUGCUUUUAUUGCAGAUUACGUCUGAGCCACAAAGUUUGCAACCAGGUGUGAUUUUUCCCGUGCCUGCAGACCCAACCCUGAAAUCUGCUCCAGUCUGAGGAAGAUGCAGCAGCCGUGAAGCCUGGCCUUGGGGACCCCUUCAUGUCGACCUCAGCGCCAGCACGCUGUAGGGCCUUGUUUCAGUGGCAGGAAAACCAAGCAGAGGCGGCGAUAAAAAUAACCCUUCUCCGUGCUUCCCUUUCUCGCUGCCUUCCAUACGUGUCUCGGGAUGCCUCAUGCAUGAGCCACGAUCACUCACGCUUUCUCCCACCUCCCUCGCACCGUCAGCAAGUCGCACAUGGUGCAGUGGCUCACGGGAAGCCCUGCAGCCCCCCAGAUCCACCAGACCCCUGAAUCCCCCUGUCCUCAGAGCAGCCCAGCCCAGAACUUGGCCCCAGCCUGUGGCCACUGACCGCAGAACUUGGCCCCACGCAGCUGGCUCGUGCUCCUGUGCUUCCAGCACCAACCCUGCAGUGCCUGCGGGGCCAAAGCAAAAUUCCUUGGAAAUCACCGGUUUUUUUCUGGGAGAUUUGUGGCACAGAAAGAACCUCAGGGUCUCUCCAGUCACCUUCUGGUUUGCCAGCACCAGCUCAGCCUGCUGGAGCAGCACAUUUUCCCCGUGAACUCGCUGCUCGCCCGGUCCCUGCCCGCAGCCAUCGCCCUGGGCUUGGCAAGGAGCUCGGGGAUGCCCAGAGCCUCCUCUGCGGACUUUCCGCUCUCCCUGAGCAAAGUGUUCUCUUUUGCCCCUUUGGAAAUCCCAGCUAAGGACCACAGAGGCCAACCUUUCAGACCCAGCAUCUGCUGCACUGCCGAGGCUCCCUUCAGAGAGAGGAAAAUCAGGAGAUGGCUUCCUGGACCAAACUUCUGCUGGGCUCUUCAGCCGUGGUCCCUGGGUGUCUUCAUCACCUCCAGGGACAGGGACGCAGAGGUGAAAUUCCUGCCUGAGGGCAGCUGCCUGGUGGCUCCGUUCCCC